UACAGAGGGGGCAAGCGUUGUUCGGAAUUACUGGGCGUAAAGGGCGCGUAGGCGGCCUCUUAAGUCGAACGUGAAAUCCCCGGGCUCAACCCGGGAACUGCGUCCGAUACUGGGAGGCUUGAAUCCGGGAGAGGGAUGUGGAAUUCCAGGUGUAGCGGUGAAAUGCGUAGAUAUCUGGAGGAAUACCGGUGGCGAAGGCGGCAUCCUGGACCGGCAUUGACGCUGAGGAGCGAAAGCUAGGGGAGCAAACGGGG
rnacentral:rRNA from 1 species